rnacentral:rRNA from 1 species
UACGUAGGGUGCAAGCGUUAAUCGGAAUUACUGGGCGUAAAGCGUGCGUAGGCGGUUUGGUAAGUCAGCUGUGAAAUCCCAGGGCUUAACCUUGGAACUGCAUUUUUAACUGCCGGGCUAGAGUAUGUCAGAGGGGGGUAGAAUUCCACGUGUAGCAGUGAAAUGCGUAGAGAUGUGGAGGAAUACCGAUGGCGAAGGCAGCCCCCUGGGAUAAUACUGACGCUCAUGCACGAAAGCGUGGGGAGCAAACAGG